rnacentral:rRNA from 1 species
UGGGUAACCUGCCUCAAAGAGGGGAAUAGCCUCCCGAAAGGGGAGAUUAAUACCGCAUAAUAUGUUUAAGUCGCAUGACUUUAACAUCAAAGGAUUUUCUUUUAGAACUUCCACUUUGAGAUGGACCCGCGGCGCAUUAGCUAGUUGGUGAGGUAACGGCUCACCAAGGCAACGAUGCGUAGCCGACCUGAGAGGGUGAUCGGCCACAUUGGAACUGAGACACGGUCCAGACUCCGUAGG